AACAAUCAUUAAUAAGAAUCUUUGUGCAUGGGCUGAUGUAGUUGUAAUACCAUCUCGGGACAGGCAACAGGACAAGUAAUUGUCAGAACAGAAUCCCUCAACCAACUAAAAUAAAUGCUCAAUGAUGGCAUCACAUUUUACUAAUACCAUAGAUAACACAUAUCACAGUCUUAAAUAAAUAAACUAUUUAACACUGCUUGACAAACACUUUUUGCAUGAAAUAUUAGUGCAUAAAACAUUUGUGCAUCGUGCAGUUUUUCCCCUGCAUUACACAUCCUUGGCCAAGACUUCCAAAGAAGCAUCUGACUCAUCUUCAAUAUGAAAAAUAUCCAUGGUGGCUACAUUUGGUGCAUCUCUGUGGAACUCAUCAUCGAUGACUUGGUCCAGUUCCGGUGCUUCCUCCGUUGAAUCGUGAACAGCGGUCCAAUUUCGCUCCCACAUCAUGUCAUCCUCUGAGCCACCCGUGGCGUUUGUGAGGAAACAAAAGUUUUGGUUCCGGAGCGCAGCCUCUCACCCUCCGUUCGCUUUCAAUUUAGCGUCAGGUGGCUAUCGAAACAACGUGAGCUUAAAACUACGUAGGAACGAGCGUCAUGGGAACAUUUUUUUAAAAGCGAGAAUUUCAAUUAUGUGCGCGCUCCUGUUUUUUUUUUGUUUUGUUUUUUUUUUUUUGCCCCAUGACGCUCGUACUAUGUAGUUUGCGCUCACGUUAUUUUGAUGCCCACCUGAAGCCAUCGAGGCGCGCUAUUGUUGUUUCGGACUGCGCCGCUGCUUCCGAAUUGGCGGCGUCGUCGGCACGAGUGAUGACAUUUCUUUUAAAAGCAGCUGCACAACUAGCCGUUGUAGUCGACAUUUUUUGUUUAAGUUUAAAUGAAAGCAAACUCACGGGCAGUUGUUUCUGAGGUUUGGUGCAAUUGCAACAAACGUGCUACGCUAACAAUCGGAAAAUGCAAGUUCCCCGAGGAGGUCGUAGAGCUCAGGUUGGGGGCGCACAUUACCGUGAUGAAUAGAAAUGUGUAACAUAAGACAUCAAAUAUCAUAUCAACAUGUGUAUGCAUGUAUUUUUCACCACUCUGUGAUUGUAUUUUUCGUCCAUACCUAAAUAUACUGCCCUCUAAUAACCUUUUGGAAAGAUUUGCGCAUUAUUUUCAAGAAAUUACAGUUAUUUAUUUAUUAGUGCGUAGUUUUUAGCAUUGUUUAUGAUUGUGGUUGUAACUGGAGUUGCGUACAGCUGCACGGCAUCACGCUGACAGCGAAUGUCACUAAAUAGGAUGUGAUGUUGUAUGUCAUCGUAACGUGCAGCUUCCUAUAACGGUGUGGCCAGCGAGCGCAGCGGCCCCUCAUGAAUAAAGCGGCGAGCUCUUUUCCCCGGCACGGGUCGCACACGCUGAAACUUUCAUGAGCUCGACUCUCGCAUGUGGCGCACGCAUAUGCUUCUUCCGAAUGAGGGGUCGGCCGCCCUCUCCCUCGGAUUCCGUUCCGCCCGCGGCUCAGUCGAGCGUGCGUUAUCACGUCGUCGCGUACGUUGACGACCCCCCCCCCCCCCCCCGGGAAUAAAUGCGGCGCCGCGCAAAGAGGCCGAGCGUCGCGUCCACAACCGGCCGACGUUCCCACACGGUUGCAGGCAGUCGUGCUUGUCCGCGCCCCUCUUUUGACAUCCUUCGCUGCAUCUUGCCCGUCUCGCCCUCCCUGUAGCGACACUUCUCAAGCGCGUGCAGAAUCCAGCGCCGCGGCCAAAACGACAGCAGCUCCUGUAGUCCACGGCGGCGGAGACGGCCACGAUGACAGCGGGCACGCCGUACCCUGCCAAGUAGAAGUACUUCGUGCGGGAGUGCUCGCUCUCAAACACCUCCACCAGCAUGAUGUAUAGCUGCACCCCUUCCAGGAACAUCCAGGUGAAGGCUGCCAAGAAGAAGAAAUGGAGCAGGGCCGCAAACACUGCGCAGGCAAUCUGGGUUCUGGCUGAGACGGAGAAUAUCUCAUUUUUGGACUUUGGGCCAGAAGCGGGGCGCAUCCCGGAUUGGUCGCUAGCCAAGUUCCAUGUUCCAGCAAUAGAACCACAACCAGGAAAGCUUGCAGGCACCUCGGAAGAGCGACUCAGCAAUGAAGAGGCUGAUGCAGAGGUUCUUGUGGAUGGUGUUGCGGUCGCUCUGCAGUCCGCGGAAAAAGCAGAAGGUGAAGAUGCAGAUGAGCAGGCAGACCAGGGACAGCAGGAUGCCCACCCAGUUUCCAUAGGCAGUCUGGCUGUGUGUCAUUGAGCGUUCGGAGUCAGGGCGUUGGGAACGCGCUGCACAGGUGUUCCGUCUCUAUCUAUCAGUGUCCCGAGAGCCGGCGGCGGCGUGAUCGAUAGACUUCUGGAAGCCGCCCGCUGCGUUCGCAUACGGCCGCCGAGGAAGCCGGCCCUGACAGUGACCUCUCUUUGAAAGAACGCUCGUCCUCUGGCUGAGACGGCAAUCAAGCCGGCCGGCCCGACCCGAUGCGACGCCUACCUUGACCUCCAUGUGGGCCAUGAGCACGGCAAAGCUGGUGAGGUGAGUGCAGGAG